UUUAUGAUCCCCAAAGGCAGAUUUGGGGAUAGGAGACUUGUCUCUACAGGACAUGCGGGAGAGCUCUGCUCUGGCCCCUGACCCCACCACUGUGCCUGGCGCCCUCCUUGGCUUGGUCCUGAAGAGGAGUAAGACCGGGAAGCAGGAGGCACAGCUAAUGUUUUCAUCACUGCCGAGACCAAGGGUUCUGCUCGAGAGAUGUGAGGUUUGAGCUCAACCAUUCUCCAGAGAGCUCGGUCCUCACGCAGGGAAAGAAGUCUGGCUCCAGUCGCCCAGAUCUUGCCGGUUGGAGCCCAAACGUCAUUCCAGGAUGUGAAAUGCCCCUUCGGCUCUUGACAUCCCACGGAAACACGCCGAGGCGUGCCCCCCGACUCCCUGCUGGAAGCUGACUGCAAAGCCCUCCCCAGCACCCCGGGCCCGCUGAUCCUUCAAGCCGUGCGAGAACUGAAUAACAGCAGUGGCCGCGCCCCCAGCUCUGCGACGGGGGCCUCGAGACCAGGAUGCGAAGAUUACACGCAGAGAGGGACCAGGUGAGUGUCCCCCACGCCACGGGGACAAGCGCCGCUCACAACCUGGCUGCCGGGACCCGCGCUGCUGUUUCGA